rnacentral:tRNA from 1 species
GGGCGAGUGGCGGAAUUGGUAGACGCGCCAGGCUUAGGACCUGGUUCCCCUAGGGAGUGGAGGUUCAAGUCCUCUCUCGCCCACCA